rnacentral:rRNA from 1 species
CCUACGGGAGGCAGCAGUGGGGAAUAUUGCACAAUGGGGGAAACCCUGAUGCAGCGACGCCGCGUGAGUGAAGAAGUACUUCGGUAUGUAAAGCUCUAUCAGCAGGGAAGAAAAUGACGGUACCUGAGUAAGAAGCCCCGGAUAACUACGGGCCAGCAGCCGCGGUAAUACGUAGGGGGCCAGGGUUAUCCGGAUUUACUGGGUGGAAAGGGAGCGUAGACGGGAGUGCAAGUCUGGAGUGAAAGUCGGGGGCUCAACCCCCGGAUUGCACUGGAAACUGUACGGCUGGAGUGCAGGAGAGGUAAGUGGAAUUCCUAGUGUAGCGGUGAAAUGCGUAGAUAUUAGGAGGAACACCAGUGGCGAAGGCGGCUUACUGGACUGUAACUGACGUUGAGGCUCGAAAGCGUGGGGAGCAAACAGGAUUAGAUACCCUUGUAGUC